rnacentral:rRNA from 1 species
GCUUCAACCAGCCCGUCUUAAAACACGGACCAAGGACGGGCAAGACGUAUGCGAGUAGUAAGGUGGCAAACCUUGUCACCUUCUUCUUUCAUUUCGCGAAAUGAAAGAGAAGGUGGGUAGGAUCCU